AUGGAAAUAAAACAAGUAGAGCAAAUCACAAAUAGCCGUGAUAAUGAUGGCGUUGAUACUUCCAAAACGGAUGACGAAAACAAAAACAACAAAAGGGACAGCGUUAAUGAAAACAAAAGUAGUGAAAAAAAUAAUAUGUUAUUCAAGAACGAUUUAUUUUGUAAGUCUAUUUUUUGCAAUGUUAAAGAUUGGUAUAAUGUAAAUGGCGAGAUAAUAGAAAAAUUAAAUCCUACUUUAAUUAAUAUAGAAAAUAUGGUUGAUAUAUAUUAUUACCAGUAUAUGUUACAUCCUUAUAAUAUACCAUAUUAUGACAAUUUAUAUAAUGAAAUAUAUAAUUAUAUGCAAAAAUUUAAAAGCGACAACAUGAAUGAUAAUUCCACUGUGAAUGAUGAGCGGGAUAUUGAUUGCAGUAAGAAUGAAAAUGAAACAAAAACUGAAACAAUCACAAAUACAAGUAGCAUUGAAAAUAGCAGCAUCGACUCUAACUUGGUUUAUAAGCUAGUAGAAAAGUUACCAGACGAAUACUAUGCACAUGUAGAUGUACUUAUAAAAGAAAUAUUAAAAAUAAGAGAUUUAAUAUAUAGAAAUAGUUACCUUAGAUAUAUAUUUUAUUAUAUAUAUAAAAAUAGUAAUAAUAAUGUAUAUUAUUCUAUUAAUCAUGUAUUAACAACAGAAAUAAAAAAAAUAAGGUUAUACAAAAUGCAAAUGAAGAUGCGAUAUAACAUAUUCAUUUCACGUUUCAUAGGAAGUAACUUUAACACAAACAAUAGUAACAAUACCAGCUUUAACAACAGCAUCAACAACAGCAUUAACAACAAUGAAAUUAAUAGUAACAACCAGAACAAUAGUAGAAACAAUAAAAAAAAUAGGAAGAACAAUGGUGACAAUAAACGUAAAAGAUUCCAUAAUAAUAAUUUGUGUCAGAAAAAUGUUAAUGAACUUAACUUAUCACAGGUAAAACAUAAAUUAUCUAAUUUGCUUUUUUCUAAAUAUAAUAAAUAUUAUAAAGAACGCACAAAUGAAAAUGAAAAUAUAAAAAACCUGAAACAUACAGCUUUAAAUGUUGAAGUAGAUAAUUUAUCUAGCUUUAAAAAAAGAUUAUCAAUAUAUAGUGAUUAUUUGAGUAAAAUGAAAAAAAAAUUAUCUACUGAAAAUGAAACCUUUGUGGAAAAAGGAAUGCUUACGGAAACUAACGCCAAUAUAGAGACAAACGAGAUAAAACAUAAACAAGAACAAGAAUACCAACAGCAACAUUACAAACCAGAUAAACUAAAUUUUAAUGUUCCUUACAGUUAUAUUCAAUUUUUAUUUAAUAAAAAUGAAGUCAUGUUUAUAAUAGGGGAAAAAGGAAAUUCAAGAAAAUAUAAAGCAGCAUAUAUUAUUAAUAAUAGUAAUGUAGAUGAAAAUGAAAACUUAUUAAUUAUAACAUCAAUAGUAAACACACACAAAUGGAAAAGUUUAUUUCCUACUUAUAAAUAUGUUACAAUAUAUAAUAGUGAAGAACGUUUAUUACAAGAUAAAAUACAAAAUAUGCAAUCGAAUUUAAUUAUAUGUAUAGAUUUUUUACCAAAAAUAUUAAAUAUUUCAUGUAAUCAAAUAAUACUCGACAUGUGUCAUUUUAAUUUAUUUAAACAAAUUAAUAUAUUUAAUGACCUACGAUUACUAAAUUUUAACAAACGAAUAUUAAUUUUCAAUAAAAUAUUAAAUGAUUGGAAUUUAUUACUGUCACUCUUUUACUUAAGUAGUUCGUUUUUAGAUACCUCUAUGGUGAAUCAGAUACAAUUAUGUUGCAAUUAUGAUUGUACUUGUGACGGAAACAACACAGACAUAAAUAAUAGCAACAAAAAUUGCAACGCAAGCAAACAAAAAUGUAAUAAAAAAAAAUUAAGUAACAUAAUGCAAAACUUCCUUAAAAAUUUUUAUAUUUUUUAUAAAAUGGACGUUUCAUUACUUCAUGAUAAUAACACGGACAUUAUCAAUUAUGACAAUACCGAAAUAUGCACUAGCACAAGUGAAGGUGGUAAGACAAAUAUCGUUUGUGAUAGUGAUAAUACCAACAACACUGUCGAAAAUACAAGUAUCAGUAAUACCAUUAGUAAUAGUAACAGUAAUAGAAGUAAUAAAACAUAUUUUAUUAUAACAUACAUUAGUGGAAUACAAAAAUGCAUUUAUGAUAAUGUUCAGGAAGAAUAUAAAAAUUAUACAUGUAUACAUCCAUUAUUACUAUUAGAGGAACAAGAAUUUUAUUUAAAAGAUUUUAACAUUUCUGAAAAGUUUGAUUUACUUAAAGAUAUAAUAAAAAAAUUUACUUAUAUAAAAAAAAAAAUACUUAUUUGUUAUUCAGGAGAUGAAAAAAUAGAAAGAUUAAUUAAAAUGUUAAUAUACCUGAACGAAUUAAAUAGUAUCUUAAUUAUGUUUUAUAACAUUCUGAACACAAAUGGAAAUGAUACUGUUGACAUAACCAAUAUUGAUGUAGCAAUAAUAAUAAAUAAACACGAUGAUUACUUAACAAUUUUUGAAAAUAAAAAUAUACAUUGUUAUUAUUUAAUUACAGUUUUUACUAAUGAAGAAAAAAUAAUAGCUGAGAAAUACAAAAACAAAAAAGAAUAUAUUUGUUUUAACAAAAAUAAACAGCAAUUUAUGAAGUUCAACAAAAAUACAAGAAAUGAAAUAUAUAAAUAUUAUAUAAAUAAUAUAUUAUCACAAACAGAUGAACAAUUUUUGUUAUUCAACAUUAUUGACCAAAAAGAAAGAACAUAUUGUAACAGCCCAUAUAAUGAAAUAGUUUUACCCACGUGUUUUAUGCAUCUGUUUCCUGAUCACGAAACAGCACUUCGUUAUUUAAGUAAGUGUCAAAAAAAAAAAAAAAAAAAAAAAAAAAAAAACUCGUAA
rnacentral:lncRNA from 1 species